rnacentral:rRNA from 1 species
GACGAACGCUGGCGGCGUGCUUAACACAUGCAAGUCGAACGAAGAGCGAUGGAAGCUUGCUUCUAUCAAUCUUAGUGGCGAACGGGUGAGUAACGCGUAAUCAACCUGCCCUUCAGAGGGGGACAACAGUUGGAAACGACUGCUAAUACCGCAUACGAUCUAACCUUGGCAUCGAGGAUGGAUGAAAGGUGGCCUCUAUUUAUAAGCUAUCACUGAAGGAGGGGAUUGCGUCUGAUUAGCUAGUUGGAGGGGUAACGGCCCACCAAGGCGAUGAUCAGUAGCCGGUCUGAGAGGAUGAACGGCCACAUUGGGACUGAGACACGGCCCAGACUCCUACGGGAGGCAGCAGUGGGGAAUCUUCCGCAAUGGACGAAAGUCUGACGGAGCAACGCCGCGUGAGUGAUGACGGCCUUCGGGUUGUAAAGCUCUGUUAAUCGGGACGAAAGGCCUUCUUGCGAACAGUUAGGAGGAUUGACGGUACCGGAAUAGAAAGCCACGGCUAA